rnacentral:miRNA from 10 species
UGAGGCAGGAGAAUUGCUUGAACCCAGGAGGCGGAGGUUGCAGUGAGCCGAGAUCGUGCCACUGCACUCCAGCCUGGGUGACACAGCGAGACUCUGUCUC